AACGAACGCUGGCGGCAUGCCUAACACAUGCAAGUCGAACGAGACCUUCGGGUCUAGUGGCGCACGGGUGCGUAACGCGUGGGAAUCUGCCCCUUGGUUCGGAAUAACAGUUAGAAGUGACUGCUAAUACCGGAUGAUGACUUCGGUCCAAAGAUUUAUCGCCAAGGGAUGAGCACGCGUAGGAGUAGGUAGUUGGUGGGGUAAAGGCUCACCAAGCCGACGAUCCUUAGCUGGUCUGAGAGGAUGAUCAGCCACACUGGGACUGAGACACGGGCCAGACUCCUACGGGUGGCAGCAGUGGGGAAUAUUGGACAAUGGGCGAAAGCCUGAUCCAGCAAUGCCGCGUGAGUGAUGAAGGCCUUAGGGUUGUAAAGCUCUUUUACCAGGGAUGAUAAUGACAGUACCUGGAGAAUAAGCUCCGGCUAACUCCGUGCCAGCCGCCGCCGUAA
rnacentral:rRNA from 1 species